rnacentral:misc_RNA from 1 species
CCUUAGCCCUGAUUGCAACGAAAAUCCCGGAGUGGAGCGGCGCAGCCGCGUAAUGAGGAAUUGCAGUGGAAAGCAGGUUCCCGG